GUCGAACGGCAGCAUGAUCUAGCUUGCUAGAUUGAUGGCGAGUGGCGAACGGGUGAGUAAUACAUCGGAACGUGCCCUGUAGUGGGGGAUAACUAGUCGAAAGAUUAGCUAAUACCGCAUACGACCUGAGGGUGAAAGUGGGGGACCGCAAGGCCUCAUGCUAUAGGAGCGGCCGAUGUCUGAUUAGCUAGUUGGUGGGGUAAAGGCCCACCAAGGCGACGAUCAGUAGCUGGUCUGAGAGGACGAUCAGCCACACUGGGACUGAGACACGGCCCAGACUCCUACGGGAGGCAGCAGUGGGGAAUUUUGGACAAUGGGCGAAAGCCUGAUCCAGCAAUGCCGCGUGUGUGAAGAAGGCCUUCGGGUUGUAAAGCACUUUUGUCCGGAAAGAAAUGGCUCUGGUUAAUACCUGGGGUCGAUGACGGUACCGGAAGAAUAAGGACCGGCUAACUACGUGCCAGCAGCCGCGGUAAUACGUAGGGUCCAAGCGUUAAUCGGAAUUACUGGGCGUAAAGCGUGCGCAGGCGGUUGUGCAAGACCGAUGUGAAAUCCCCGAGCUUAACUUGGGAAUUGCAUUGGUGACUGCACGGCUAGAGUGUGUCAGAGGGGGGUAGAAUUCCACGUGUAGCAGUGAAAUGCGUAGAGAUGUGGAGGAAUACCGAUGGCGAAGGCAGCCCCCUGGGAUAACACUGACGCUCAUGCACGAAAGCGUGGGGAGCAAACAGGAUUAGAUACCCUGGUAGUCCACGCCCUAAACGAUG
rnacentral:rRNA from 1 species